UGGUGGUCAUUUAACUGGGGCCAGGUGGUCUUUGUUCUGGUUCCGAUCUGAACAUCGGGCCAUCUUACUUUGGGCUUGUCGGUCUGCUUAGGGGCCCUGCUCAUGUUUCCUACACUGCAGGUGAAUUUGGUUUUUCCAUAGUUUUUUCGGGAAGUCAAUUUGAAGUGUAUGAGCUCUAUGUCCCCUCCCCUCUGAAAACCCUGGCCUCCUGGUGAGAUGCAGCGGUGACAAGGAGGCCACUGCCACAGAGGCCCUUGUCCCAGAAAGAGUCGCUCGCUGUGCAGUCAGGGCUGUUCUUACCUGUAGGAAAACACGAUGUGUGUGUAGCAUGGGCCACGUGCUGGAGAAGAUAUGUAACUGCCCAUCCAGUAUAAUUUGGUCCUGCUCAAGCUACCCAUUUUAAAUUUUGUAAGAGGGAAGAGUUCAAGAUUUUCUUUGAAUAAAGGUAUUUAGAGCUUAUCAAUUUUUUUUAAAUUGAAAUGUGUUUGAUUUACAAUGUUUUGUUAGUUUCAGUUAUACAGCUGUUUUGUUAGUUUCAGGUAUGCAGCAUAGUGAUUCAGUUGUACAUAUACAUAGUCUAUUCUUUUUCAGGUUCUUUUCCAUUAUAGGUUGCAAGAUACUGAAUAUUCUUCCCUGUGUUCUACAGUGAAUCCUUGUCGUUUGUCUGUUUUACAUAUAGUAAUUUGUAUCUGUUAAUCCCAAACUCCUAAGUUUGUUUUAUAAGUCUGUGAGUCUGUUUUUUGUUUUAUAGAUAAGUCCAUUUGUAUCAUUUUUUUAAAAAUUCCACAUAUAAAUGAUAUCAUAUGAUACUUGUCUUUGUCUAACUUAUUUCACUUAGUGAGAUAAUCUCCAGUUCCAUCCAUGUUGCUGUAAAUGGCCUUAUUUCCUUCUUUGUUAUGACUGAGUAAUAUUCUGUUAUAUCUAAAUACCGCAUCUUUAUCCAGUCAUCUGUCAGUGAAUGUUUAGGUUGCUUCUAUGUCUUGGCCAUUGUAAACAGUGCUCCUGUGAAAAUUGGGGUGCAGAUAUCUUUUGGAAUGAAGGUUCCCUCUGGUUAUAUGCCCAGGAGUGGGAUUGCUGGAUUAGGUAAUAAGCCUUUUUUUUUUUUUUUUUUGUCUUUUGAGGAAUCUCCAUACUGUUUUCCACAGUGGCUGCAACAAACUACAUUCCCACCAACAAUGUAGGAGGGUUUCCUUUCCUCCACAGCCUCUCCGGCAUUUAUGGUUUGUGGACUUUUGAAUGAUGGCCAUUCUGACUGGUGUGAGAUGAUAACAUUGUAGUUUUGAGUUGCAUUUCUCUGAUAAUUGAACGAUAUUAAGCAUUUUUUAUAUGCCUAUUGGCCAUCUGUGUGUCUUCAUUGGAGAAUUGCUUGUUUAGUUGUUCUGCCCAUUUUUGGAUUUGGUUGUUUAUUUUUUUCUUAUUAAGUUGUAUGGACUAUUUAUAUAGUCUAGAAAUUAAGCCAUGGUCAGUCUCAUCUUUUGCAAAUAUUUUCUCCCAUUCCAUAGGUUGUCUUUUAGUUUUACUUAUGGUUUCUAUUGCUGUGCAAAAGUUUAUAAGUUUAAUUAGGUCUCAUUUAUUUAUUUUGGCUUUUAUUUCUGUUGCUUGGGUUACUUAGAUUGCCCUACGAAAACAUUGCUGAGAUGUAUGUCAAAUAAUGUUUUGCCUAUGUUUUCUUGUGAGAAGUUUAUAGUGUCGUGUGUAAUAUUUAAGUCUUUAAGCCAUUUUGAGUUUGUUUCUUUUUGGUUUUUUUGCGACUCUAAUGUAUGCUUUUGAUUUGUGGUUACCUUAUUCUUCAAAUAUAUCAGCCCAUUACUAUAUCUAUUUCCUUUAGACUGAUAAUCACGUAGGCUCCAACACAUCCUAAGAAUAACGAAGAAAAAAAAGAAAGAAAAAAAUCUACAUUUUCUUGCUCCCCUCUCCCAUUCCCAACUCUUUUUAUUUUGAUGUCCUUUUUCAUUUUUACAUCUUUAUGUUUAUUCUCUUGCAACUCGUUAUUGCAUUUCCAACUAUGGUUUUCCUGUUUCUAUAGCAUCCUGCUUCCUUUCUGUUUAGAAUAGAACUUUUUAAUGUCUCUGUUAGGUUCAAUAUUGCUGAGUUAUCUCACCUCCCCCUCCCCCCUUCCCCCCAGGCCUCUGAAUCCUCAGUCCAGGGAAGCUAAACCAUUCUAGCCUUCAUCGGUUCUGGGAAAGCAAUCUUCAGAGUGGGAAAAGACAUUGAAAAAUAAUAUUCUGUGAGUUGCAUUCUACCCUUGCCCAGAGAUGAGAAACAUCUGAAGGUGGAGGAAAACAGUUGGAGGGUUCACUUGGUGAUAAUAAUCAUAACCAAAGCAACAGCAAACCCUUACAGAACUCUGUCCUGCUGUUCCAGGAACGCUGUGUUCAUGACAACCCAAUGAGUUGGCACCACUAUGAGUUCCACUUUAAAGUGCCUGCCACCCUGGCCUCCCUGCUCAUCUGCCUCAGUCAGGAGCACCUGGACCACCAGCUCUGUAUUGCCUCGCCUCCUACCAUCAAGACGUCAAAGUUCAUUCUCCUUCCACCACCCAGUAUGGUCAUUGUAGGGUCUUCUUCUCUGUCAGCCUGAGCCAGCCACCCCCCAUUCACCCUACCCCCGGGCUCAUACCCGGGCGUGUCUCCACCCAAGGUCCAGCCUCUCUCCUUUAAGUGCCCACCUCUAGCCGUCCAGCUUCUUCUCCACCAGCCUCCCUGGCCCUCCUUCACCCUCACUGGGGCAUCAUGCGCUGACUCCUCUGCUUUCCUGCCUGUCCACGUUCCUCUUACUUCCACUUCCCCACCUUCCAGCUCUGCAUCCACAGCCAGCACUCUCUUUAUGACAGACAAAACCCCCUUGAGCCUUGACCUUUUCAGUUCCUCACCAGGCCGACUUCCAUCUCGGUUCACCCAGCUCUACUUGUUCUGAGCCUGCAGGCAGCAGGCUCUCCCAGCACAGAUUUCCAAGACUACAAAUCAAUGCCCACCAUGUUGCCGCUGCCAGGCAAUCCUCCAGGAUUUCUCUAGUGAGCACAUUUCCCCACUUAUCACUCAGUGGUGUCAACAUUCUCUGCUCUCUGCACACCUCUAACCUUCCCUCUGUCUCUUCCCUGACUCCCAGCAGAUGGCCUUGCCUCCUGCUUCAGAGAGAAUGACAUGUCACUGGAAAGGAACUCGCUCACCUGCAGCAAACCUGCUCACCUCACCUUUUAUCUGUCCCUCUCCCACCUGGACUCUAGCUGUAGUUGUUCUUAAUUCAGUGAGUUUAGUUGACAUAUAUAUACACAGUUAAAAGCAUAGCACACUAUCGGCUACCUUCUAGGGGUUACUUUUUCAAUUUAACAUGGAGUGUGUGAUUCAUCCACUUCAUUGCAUGUACCUGCAGUUCAUUUGUUUUAACUGAUCUUAAAUGUUGUGUGUGUGAAAGUAACACAAGGCAAGGGUAAGCCAGGAUUCAGGAUGCUGGUUACUUCCUGUGAGAAAAGGCCAAGAGCAGGAUAGGGAAAGAGGACACAGUAUGUCACUGUCAAUAUUCCUGUUAUGAUGCUGGGUGAUAGGUUCAUAACUGUGUCUUAUAAUAUUAAUUUUAAUACAUAAAUACCUCUGACAGGCACCUAAGAUGAGAAUGUGUCAUGAACCAAGACAUACAAUGGGUAAUAUUACAUCAUUAUUGUUAUGUAAUCUUGUUAUAUUAUAUAUUAAUCAUAAUCUUACAUUAUUUGUUAUGGGUUAUAUAUUAUAUAGAUGCAUGAAUUAUAUAUUAUGUGUAUAAACACCUACAUAUGUAUUAUAUACUAUCUGCUAAUAAAUAAACAGAAGAUAAUAUGCUAGUAUAUCUUCUAUUAUGUAUUAUUUAAUAAAUAAUAACAUACUCUAUCCUGUUAUAUGACAUGGAACAUAAUCUUUAAUAAAAUAAGAAAUCUGUCAAUAUA